AUGUUAGUAAAGCCUGCUCAAUGUAAAAUAAAUAGCCGCAGAUUUCCUGUGCUAAGGUAGCAUAAUAAUUUGCCUUAUAAUUUAAGGCUCGCAUGAAAGGUAUCACAUAUUGAUAACUUUAUUAUUCAAAACCCUUCAAUCUAACCUUUUAGUAAAAAGGCUAAAAUUUUUAAAGAAGACGACAAGACCCUGACAAACUUUACAUCCAUGUUUUACUGGGGGGGUAAAAAAACUAUAUCUUUUCAACCCAUUAAAUAUCAGAAAUAUUUCUACAUUUAUUCAAGUUACUGCAGGGAUAACAGCAUAAUUUUUUCCUAAAGACCUUAUCUAAGAAAAAGUUUGUGACCUCGAUGUUGAAUUAGGAACCUAUAAAGAGCAAAAUCUUUACAAGUAAGUCUGUUCGACUUUUAAUAUCCUACAUGAUUUGAGUUCAGACCGGCGCAAGCCAGGUCGGUUUCUAUCUCUUUUUAAGAAUUUUUAGUACGAAAGGAUCAAAAUUCUAAUCUUUCAUUUU
rnacentral:rRNA from 1 species